ACAAAGGCUCUUUUCAGAGCCACUUAAACAGUCAAAAAAGGCGGC
rfam:Tupaia chinensis contig173168, whole genome shotgun sequence.